rfam:Felis catus isolate Cinnamon breed Abyssinian chromosome F2, whole genome shotgun sequence.
GCCUGGGUGGCUCAGUUGGUUGAGCAUCUGACUUCGGCUCAGGUUAUGAUCUCAUGGUUCGUGGGUUCGAGCCCUGCGUCGCGCU